GAAAAUUUGCUCUUUUAGUAUUUGUCUAGAAGGGUCCUGAGGUUUUCUCAGGACUCCAUG
ensembl:snRNA U7 U7 small nuclear RNA